rnacentral:rRNA from 1 species
CACGUAGGGAGCAAGCGUUGUCCGGAUUUAUUGGGCGUAAAGAGCUCGUAGGUGGUUCGGUAAGUCGGGUGUGAAAACUCUGGGCUCAACUCAGAGACGCCACCCGAUACUGCCGUGACUAGAGUCUGGUAGGGGAGUGUGGAAUUCCUAGUGUAGCGGUGAAAUGCGCAGAUAUUAGGAGGAACACCAGUGGCGAAGGCGGCGCUCUGGGCCAGUACUGACGCUGAGGAGCGAAAGCGUGGGUAGCGAACAGG